GGUCUUAUGGUCUAGUGGUAUGAUUCUCGCUUAGGGUUUAACUAAGCACAUAUGCGAGAGGCCCCGCGUUCGAAUCGCGGUAAGACCC